rnacentral:rRNA from 1 species
GAUGAACGCUGGCGGCGUGCUUAACACAUGCAAGUCGAACGAAGCAUUUGCGACAGGUUUUUUCGGAAUGAAGUUGCUUAUGACUGAGUGGCGGACGGGUGAGUAACGCGUGGGUAACCUGCCUUGUACUGGGGGAUAGCAGCUGGAAACGGCUGGUAAUACCGCAUAAGCGCACAAUGUUGCAUGACAUGGUGUGAAAAACUCCGGUGGUAUAAGAUGGACCCGCGUCUGAUUAGCUAGUUGGUGAGAUAACAGCCCACCAAGGCGACGAUCAGUAGCCGAACAGAGAGGGUGACCGGCGACAUUGGGACUGAGACACGGCCCAGACUCCUACGGGAGGCAGCAGUGGGGAAUAUUGCACAAUGGAGGAAACUCUGAUGCAGCGACGCCGCGUGAGUGAAGAAGUAAGUCGUUAUGUAAAGCUCUAUCAGCAGGGAAGAUAGUGACGGUACCUGACGAAGAAGCUCCGGCUAAAUACGUG